GAGCUGCCAUAAAUGGUUGACCUGAUUCUAAACCUCAGGCAAUGUGUUCAUGGAAGUCUAUGUCAUUUCGUUCAUAUAUUCAAAUACAACAAUGGGUAAAACUGUAUGAAUUUUUUCUAAUUUUAUGUUUAGAACUUGCAAUUACUUUAGUAAUACUAACCGUUAUGUAAGAUUAGCAGUUUCGCCAGUAAUCAUUAGAGUUUGGUUUCCACCUUUGUAGAAAACGAAUUUAUUCAAGUUUGGGAUAUACCAGGUGGCAUUCAUCUUGUACAAGAUUAAACUGGAAUUCAGUUUUCAAUAUCUCUAAUUUUACACAUAUGUAGAUACGCGGAAUUGAUUGAAUUGACAAUACGACAGGAGUAUAACAUAUAAGAUGUGGGAAAAAACAUAUAAGAUGUGGGAAAAUACUGUGAAUAUAGUUUCUGUUCUUUUACUGAAUAUCAGAUUGUUGUGGUCUUAAGUUUGCCAAAUAAACAUGACAUUAUUCCGUAGUAACAGAAACAAUGAUUAGAACCAGAAAGAGGACAAUCAGCUGGCUGGCUAGUUUGAUCAUUCGUCAAGGGGGAUAUUGCAAUCAAUACAUACGAUACUCCGAUGAAUCUCCCAAUUCCAUAUUUAUAUGCCAAGAUGGUGAACAUUUGACUCAUAUUGGUAAUACAUUUUGCUUACCACAUUUCAAGGCGCGGUAGAAGCCUUUCUUUUCUACACACCACAUACUUUCCACAAUGUGUAUUAAGAAAUUGCAUGAUAUUCAUUAGAAUUCAGUUAUUGUUAGGGUUUAAAUAUAUGAGUCCUUUAUAUUGUAUUUGGCUCACAGCUUCUACGCAGCUCUAUCCGCUUUUAAUGGCGGUUGACCCGACAGUCAUUUAUGACUGUCUUGGUCAAUUUGGCACAUUUCGCUGCGUUUCCUUUAAAUAUGCGUCAUUUGGCGUCAUAUUUCAUUUAGCAUCCAAAACAUUUGAUAUUGUGGGUCUCUGUAUCCCAGGACCACCACACAAAAAUUUACGAAUCUCUGUUUCCCAGGAUUCAUUUAAUUGGAUGCUUUAUUUAUUGUAAAUAAUUAGUUAUCUAGUUAUCUAUCUAUCUAUCUAGUUAUCUUUUUGUAGUCUGCCAAUAUGAAAGGUGACUACGUUUAAUUAAUUAUCUAUUUACUAUAUAUAUAUCUUAAUUAUUUAUCUAUUUAGUUAUCUAGUUAUCGUGUCGUAGUUUGCCAAUAUGAAAGGUGACUACGUUCAUCGAAAUAUCUAUUUACUUUACAUAUAUAUAUCUUAACUGUUUACCUAGUAAUAUGUGUUUAUAAUUUUAUAAUAAAGCUGUGGCCAAAUACUGCCAA